UGCUAAGAUCCGUAGUCGAAAGGGAAACAGCCCAGACCAACAGCUAAGGUCCCAAAAUAUAUGUUAAGUGGAAAAGGAUGUGGGGUUGCACAGACAACUAGGAUGUUAGCUCAGAAGCAGCUAUCAUUCAAAGAGUGCGUAAUAGCUCACUAGUCGAGUGACCCUGCGCCGAAAAUGUACCGGGGCUAAACAUAUUACCGAAGCUUUGGAUUGAUAUUUUAUCAAUGGUAGGAGAGCGUUCUUAACCGCGAUGAAGGUAUACCGUGAGGAGUGCUGGAGCGUUAAGAAGUGAGAAUGCCGGUAUGAGUAGCGCAAGAUAAGUGAGAAUCUUAUCCACCGUAAGACUAAGGUUUCCAGGGGAAGGCUCGUCCGCCCUGGGUUAGUCGGGACCUAAGGCGAGGCCGAAAGGCGUAGUCGAUGGACAACUGGUUGAUAUUCCAGUACUAGAUAUGAUCGUGAUGGAGGGACGCAGUAGGCUAAGAGAUGCCAGUUAAUGGAUUCUGGUCUAAGCAGUGAGGUGUGAGAUGUGUCAAAUGCAUUUCUCUCUAACAUUGAGCUGUGAUGGGGAAGCAACUACGGUUGCGAACUCUCUGAUGUCACACUGCCAAGAAAAGCUUCUAGCGUAAAGUCAUAUCUACCCGUACCGCAAACCGACACAGGUAGUCGAGGCGAGUAGCCUCAGGUGAUCGAGAGAACUCUCGUUAAGGAACUCGGCAAAAUAGCCCCGUAACUUCGGGAGAAGGGGUGCUGGUGUAAAAGCCAGCCGCAGUGAAUAGGCCCAAGCAACUGUUUAUCAAAAACACAGCUCUCUGCUAAACCGCAAGGUGAUGUAUAGGGGGUGACGCCUGCCCGGUGCUGGAAGGUUAAGAGGAGUGCUUAGACGUAAGUCGAAGGUAUGAAUUGAAGCCCCAGUAAACGGCGGCCGUAACUAUAACGGUCCUAAGGUA
rnacentral:rRNA from 1 species